AGUGAAAGACAGCCUACAGACUGAGUCCGGGACGUGUCACACUAGAUCUGCGUCUCUCUUUCUCCUCAGGGCUUCACGACUCCUUUCAAAACCUGCUGGACAAAAAGGAAAAGAAAGAAAGAAAAAAAACCAAUAUACCAGCCCUCAAUCAGUUGUGUUACCGUAGGUAAAAGUUCAUGUCACCAUGUAGAUAAAGUAAACUUUCAACUUUGUAUGGAUUUAAGACGUGGGAGCGCACCUUGGGCUUUGGGCUAUCUCCUCUUUUCAUCCUCACCCCUUUUACACUAUUUGUGAGGCAGACAGAAAACAACAAUUCUUAUGUAUUCAUGUACAUUUUUCAGGGAUGUAAAUACAGAAGUGUCUUAUUUAGGUUUUAGUCAGAAAACUUUUUUUUUCCCCUUUGGCCACAAUCAUCUGCCGGACAGAAAAUCAGCCAUUGUGAUCAACUCUCUGAGUUGAAGAGUUACUGUGUAAAGAAGCUACAUGUAAGUGAAUUUGUGUUAAUACUGUAUGUGUGUAAACUGUACUGUACAUUUAUGAAGACGUGUAUAGAGAAAUAUUAGCAUUGUAUAAGAUUUAUAAUAUAUGUUAUUGUAUAGAACAGAGCAAAAUCUGUAUUAAAAAGGUGAUCUAAAAAUGGA